rnacentral:rRNA from 1 species
GUAGUUUACAGAGGGUGUUUCGGGGGCGGCGCCGGUCUAAGUCCCUUGGAACAGGGCGUCACAGAGGGUGAGAAUCCCGUACGUGACCGGCGACCAACCUCGUGCGAGACCCCUUCGACGAGUCGAGUUGUUUGGGAAUGCAGCUCAAAGCGGGUGGUAAAUUUCAUCUAAAGCUAAAUACCGGCCGGAGACCGAUAGCGCACAAGUAGAGUGAUCGAAAGAUGAAAAGCACUUUGGAAAGAGAGUUAAAAAGCACGUGAAAUUGUUGAAAGGGAAGCGCUUGCGACCAGACCUGCCCGUGGGCGAUCAACCUCGGUUCUCCGGGGCGUACUCGCUCGCGAUCAGGUCAGCAUCGGUUCGGGCGGCGGGAGAAAGGCCUUGGGAACGUAGCUCCCUCUCGGGGGAGCGUUAUAGCCCUCGGCGCAACGCCGCCAGCCCGGACCGAGGACCGCGCUUCGGCUAGGAUGCUGGCGUAAUGGUCGUAAGCGACCCGUCUUGAAACACGGACCAAGGAGUCUAACAUUCAUGCGAGUGUUUGGGCGUGAAACCCACGCGCGAAAUGAAAGUGAACGGAGGUGGGAACCCCUGAGGGCGCACCAUCGACCGAUCCAGAUGUCUUCGGAUGGAUUUGAGUACGAGCAUGACUGUUGGGACCCGAAAGAUGGUGAACUAUACUUGAAUAGCGAGAAACCGGAGGUAACUCUGGUGGAUCGUCUUCUAGAUGGUGAACUAUGCCUGAAUAGGGUGA